rnacentral:lncRNA from 1 species
CUAUUAUUUUCAGAAAGCUGAAGUGAAUAGAGUCCUCAUUUCAUGCUCACCCCGAUUCAGCUUCUGAGAAUUUUUCCUCACUGCAAGUUACACUGCUCCUUGCUGGUCGCCUUAGUCCUUCCUAUGGGUCUGUACUGCCUUCAUUAAACGUCUUUACAGGUAAAUGUUUUUAUAGAGUGUGGCAUCUGUUUAUUAUGGGACCUUGACCAAUAAAAUCUUAGAUCAGCCGUGUGUUUUGAGUUACCCCAUUGCUGGGUAAGGGGCUAGCUUGGGGAGCCUCCCCCUUCUCAGAGGAAUAGGGACAUAUAGGGGGAGGAGUAGUAAGGGUGGGCCAGGAGGAGGGUGGGCUGCCAUCAGGAUGAAAAGUGAAUAAAUUAAUUAAUGAAAAAAGUUUCCCCAUCACCUUUGACUACAGGAUUUUUAUUGAGGUAAGGUCUUCCUUUGUAGCUCAGGUUGGCCGUGAAUUUACAAUUCUUCUGCCUCAGCCUGGUGAUUCUGGGAUUACAGGUAUUUUGGUAUGUGUCGUUACAACUUCUCUAGAACUGAUCAGGACUUAAAGACAAGAUAAAACACUUGCUUUUAUCGCCUGUGGCUGGUAUCUCAGAUCAUGAUAUUUAUUCCUUCUGAAACUUCCAACCUGGGUUUAGGCCACAGAAAGAUAGAUUGGCUUUUGCUAUUUCAUGUUCCUCUAAAGUAAUCUGCUCCUUAUGUUCGACUCAAAAACUGGUUGGCCCUACUGAAUAGCUGGAGAACACAAGUAGCCAUUCUUCCUGUGCAUGAUCAGCACAUUUAUUACUUAUGAGAGGUUUGUAUAAACAUACUAUUAUAGUAACCUAUUUAUACAUCACUGGUAUUUUAACAGUGGGAUUUAAAAACAAUAGCUGUUAAUACUGAAUCUGUGCCUUAAUGCACAGUGUUGAUUUUUGGAGUGUUACAGUUGAAUGCAUUCUCCAUGUGAGUGACCCAGAACAUGAUGCAUUUUUGAAAGGUUAGUAGGAGUAUCUCUGCAUUUCCAUCACAGCACUGGAAAAUUCUAUUUAAACAACAAUUGUGCAUAGGUCCAAGUUGCGUACCUGUCUGAUCUUACACUAGGUUCGAGGAAUGUCUUUGACCUGUUCUCUUACAUCAAUUUUGUUCACUUUUGGUAGGGCUGCUCUGUAUCCAUUCCCUCUGUCUUUAAUACAGUCUUGGAAUCCUGAACAAGUUUAUAGCAUGUAAGAAACUAUUUUCUCUUCGUGGUCCAUCUGGCUAGUAGAACUGAAACCUAAGCGCCAUAUUCCUGCCAAACAAGUUUUCUUGUUUUCUAGGCUUGAAGCAAAGGCUCUUCUUCGUAAAAACUGAAUGCUUCUGUCAUUUGUUAGAUUUGACUUAAUUCACUGAACUGCUAGUCAGUAUCUUCUAUUUUUCAGAUGCUUUUUAAGAUGCUGGAUAUUAAAAUAUGAAUAGAACAUCAAGUCAUUUGGGCAUAUGACAAGGAGUGGCCUGGCUAGAUGAUGUGUGUGGUGGUAUGAAUAUAUUUGAUCCACGGGAAGAACCAAUAUUAGGAGGUGUGGCCUUGUUGGAGUAGGUGUGGCCUUGUUGGGGAAGUUCAUCUCUGUGGGGGUGGGCUUUGAGGUCCUAUGCUCAAGCUCUGCGCAGUGCAGAAGAAAGCCUGCCCCUGACUGCCAGCAGAAGGCAAGUCUCCUCCUGGCUGCCUUCAGAUCAGGAUAGAGAACUCUCACCUCCUCAGCAUCAAGUCUGCCUGCACUGUGCCAUUCUUCCCACCAUGAGGAUAAUGGACUGAACAUCUGAAACUAUAAGCCAUCCCCAAUAAAAUAUUUUCCUUUCUGGAAGUUGCCUUGGUCAUAAUGUCUCUCACAGUGUCUAACUAAGACAAUAUGGUACAUCUACAUUUACCUAUUUAAUAAAUUCUCCACACUGAUUUUCAUAGCGGCUGUAGCAGUUUGCAAUUCCACCAACACUGGAGAGGAUUUUAUUUCCCAUAUCCUCCCAUGCAUUUGCUGUCAGCUGGCUUUUUUUUUUUUUUUUAAUUUUAGCCAGUCUGACAGAGGUAAAAGAAGUUUCUAAUAUCUCAAGAAUGUUGAAUCCCCUCUUAACAUAUUUCUUAGCUGUUGUUAUUUCUUACAGAAUCAGUAGAAGAUCUAAAGACACGGGACCCUGACAGAGCUUCCAGAAAUGACUAAGAAAUGCUAAGCUAGCUGUUCCUAGUCCUCCAUCUAUCUAGAAGCUUCUGCCAUGAUUGUUAGCUCUGGGACCAGGUGAACUCAGACAUGUGAACUUUUGGUUAGCUCCUGUUUGUCACCUGAAGCUCAUGAGCCUUUUCUUCCUUCCUGGGACAAAUAUUUCCAUUUGAAGGUAAAAGGAAAACAAACGUUGAUGACUACUUCAGCAGCUGCAAAGAAAAGAAUUAUUGUUUCCUUCCUUCUUUGGCUCCCUCGAGUUCUCAGGAGGUGCCGAAGAAAAAUCAGCACCAGAUGGCUCUCAAAGAGAUGAUGCUCAAAUUUUAAAUUUAUGGCUCAUUUCUGGAAGACAAUCUGAAGGUGGCCCAAGUUUCAAAUCACUUCCAGAACAGACUCAGGGGAGAAUGUCUCUCGCUUUGGUUUACAAAGCUGGUCUCAUGGUUCUCUGGUUUGCUAGUGCUGUUUGAUUGUAGCACAGGGAGUCUGUGACCGGAACUGCCACAAUGGGGACCCACCUUAGCUGGUAUGUAAAGAUUGCCAAGUCACUUUGGAAACAUUCUCUUCGUGUAUGUUAGUGGCAACAGAGAGCAGCUUCUGUAUGUGGCGACCUUGGUUUAACUUAGUCUAUCAGCAGACCAGUAAGCAAC